rnacentral:rRNA from 1 species
CCUACGGGAGGCAGCAGUGAGGAAUAUUGGUCACUGGACGAGCGUCUGAACCAGCCAAGUAGCGUGAAGGAUGACUUCCCUAUGGGUUGUAAACUUCUUUUAUAUGGGAAUAAAAUGUUCCACGUGUGGGAUUUUGUCUGUACCAUAUGAAUAAGGAUCGGCUAACUCCGUGCCAGCAGCCGCGGUAAUACGGAGGAUCCGAGCGUUAUCCGGAUUUAUUGGGUUUAAAGGGAGCGUAGGUGGAUUGUUAAGUCAGUUGUGAAAGUUUGCGGCUCAACCGUAAAAUUGCAGUUGAAACUGGCAGUCUUGAGUACAGUAGAGGUGGGCGGAAUUCGGGGUGUAGCGGUGAAAUGCUUAGAUAUCACGAAGAACUCCGAUUGCGAAGGCAGUUCACUGGACUGCAACUGACACUGAGGCUCGAAAGUGUGGGUAUCAAACAGGAGUAGAUACCCCUGUAGUC